AGUCAAGUAAUUAAGUGCAUGUGGUGGAUGCCUUGGCAGUCAGAGGCGAUGAAAGACGUGAUAGCCUGCGAAAAGCUCCGGGGAGGCGGCAAAUAUCCUUUGAUCCGGAGAUGUCUGAAUGGGGGAACCCACCUACUUUAAGGUAGGUAUUGCAACAUGAAUACAUAGUGUUGCAAGGCGAACGAGGGGAAGUGAAACAUCUCAGUACCCUUAGGAAAAGAAAUCAAUUGAGAUUCCCUCAGUAGCGGCGAGCGAACGGGGAUCAGCCCAUUAAGUUAUGUGUGUUUUAGUGGAACGCUCUGGGAAGUGCGAACGUAGAGGGUGAUAUUCCCGUACACGAAAGGGCACACAUAAUGAUGACGAGUAGGGCGAGGCACGUGAAACCUUGUCUGAAUAUGGGGGGACCAUCCUCCAAGGCUAAAUACUCCUGACUGACCGAUAGUGAACCAGUACCGUGAGGGAAAGGCGAAAAGAACCCCUGUGAGGGGAGUGAAAUAGAUCCUGAAACCGCAUGCAUACAAGCAGUGGGAGCACCUUCGUGGUGUGACUGCGUACCUUUUGUAUAAUGGGUCAGCGACUUAUAUUCAGUAGCGAGGUUAACCGUAUAGGGGAGCCGUAGAGAAAUCGAGUCUUAAUAGGGCGUUUAGUUGCUGGGUAUAGACCCGAAACCAGGCGAUCUAUCCAUGAGCAGGUUGAAGGUUGGGUAACACUAACUGGAGGACCGAACCCACUGUCGUUGAAAAGCCAGGGGAUGACUUGUGGAUAGGGGUGAAAGGCUAAUCAAGCCUGGUGAUAGCUGGUUCUCCCCGAAAGCUAUUUAGGUAGCGCCUCGGACGAAUACCAUAGGGGGUAGAGCACUGUUUCGGCUAGGGGGUCAUCCCGACUUACCAAACCGAUGCAAACUCCGAAUACCUAUGAGUACUAUCCGGGAGACAGACUGCGGGUGCUAACGUCCGUAGUCAAGAGGAAAACAAUCCAGACCGCCAGCUAAGGCCCCAAAAUCAUAGUUAAGUGGGAAACGAUGUGGGAAGGCAUAGACAGCUAGGAGGUUGGCUUAGAAGCAGCCACCCUUUAAAGAAAGCGUAAUAGCUCACUAGUCGAGUCGGCCUGCGCGGAAGAUGUAACGGGGCUAAAACUAUGUGCCGAAGCUGCGGAUGUAUACUUUGUAUACGUGGUAGGGGAGCGUUCUGUAAGCCGAUGAAGGUGUGUUGAGAAGCAUGCUGGAGGUAUCAGAAGUGCGAAUGCUGACGUGAGUAACGACAAAACGGGUGAAAAACCCGUUCGCCGAAAGACCAAGGGUUCCAGUCCAACGUUAAUCGGGGCUGGGUGAGUCGACCCCUAAGGCGAGGCCGAAAGGCGUAGUCGAUGGGAAAAUGGUUAAUAUUCCAUUACUUCUGUGUAAUGCGAUGAGAGGACGGAGAAGGCUAAAUCAGCCUGGCGUUGGUUGUCCAGGUGAAAGGAUGUAGGCAUGUAUCUUAGGCAAAUCCGGGGUACUCUAUGCUGAGAUCUGAUAGCAAGCUGUACUUGUACAGCGAAGUGGUUGAUGCCAUGCUUCCAGGAAAAGUCUCUAAGCUUCAGUUACACAGGAAUCGUACCCGAAACCGACACAGGUGGUCAGGUCGAGUAGACCAAGGCGCUUGAGAGAACUCUGCUGAAGGAACUAGGCAAAAUGGUACCGUAACUUCGGGAGAAGGUACGCUGUUGUUGGUGAUGGAACUCGCUUCCUGAGCUGACGACAGCCGCAGAAACCAGGCCGCUGCAACUGUUUAUUAAAAACAUAGCACUCUGCAAACACGAAAGUGGACGUAUAGGGUGUGAUGCCUGCCCGGUGCUGGAAGGUUAAUUGAUGGGGUUAGCGUAAGCGAAGCUCUUGAUCGAAGCCCCAGUAAACGGCGGCCGUAACUAUAACGGUCCUAAGGUAGCGAAAUUCCUUGUCGGGUAAGUUCCGACCUGCACGAAUGGCAUAAUGAUGGCGGCGCUGUCUCCAGCAGAGGCUCAGUGAAAUCGAAAUCGCUGUGAAGAUGCAGUGUACCCGCGGCUAGACGGAAAGACCCCGUGAACCUUUACUGCAGCUUGACACUGAACUUUGACCUUACUUGUGUAGGAUAGGUGGGAGGCUUUGAAGCUGGAACGCUAGUUCCAGUGGAGCCGUCCUUGAAAUACCACCCUGGUAAUGUUGAGGUUCUAACUCUGUCCCGUGAUCCGGGACGAGGACCGUGUCUGGUGGGUAGUUUGACUGGGGCGGUCUCCUCCUAAAGAGUAACGGAGGAGUACGAAGGUGCGCUCAGCGUGGUCGGAAAUCACGCGUAGAGUAUAAAGGCAAAAGCGCGCUUAACUGCGAGACCCACAAGUCGAGCAGGUACGAAAGUAGGUCUUAGUGAUCCGGUGGUUCUGUUUGGAAGGGCCAUCGCUCAACGGAUAAAAGGUACUCUGGGGAUAACAGGCUGAUACCGCCCAAGAGUUCAUAUCGACGGCGGUGUUUGGCACCUCGAUGUCGGCUCAUCUCAUCCUGGGGCUGAAGCAGGUCCCAAGGGUAUGGCUGUUCGCCAUUUAAAGAGGUACGCGAGCUGGGUUUAGAACGUCGUGAGACAGUUCGGUCCCUAUCUACCGUGGGCGCUGGAAAUUUGAGAGGAUCUGCUCCUAGUACGAGAGGACCAGAGUGGACGAACCUCUGGUGUACCGGUUGUGACGCCAGUCGCAUCGCCGGGUAGCUAUGUUCGGAAGGGAUAACCGCUGAAAGCAUCUAAGCGGGAAGCCUACCUCAAGAUAAGAUUUCCCUAGGACUUUAUGUCCUCUAAAGAGCCGUUCGAGACUAGGACGUUGAUAGGUUGGAUGUGGAAGCAUAGUGAUAUGUGAAGCUGACCAAUACUAAUUGCUCGUGAGGCUUGACUAU
rnacentral:rRNA from 1 species